ensembl:lncRNA
CCACUGUUUAAAUGUUCUAAUACAAAAUCUAAAGUCCCUGAUGCUCCUUCAGUUGAUCUAACAGUUUCUCCUUGUUCACUCGUUCUUCCUUCAACUAAACAGGUAAAUAUGGCUCAGCAUAGUAAUGUGAGCAACAGUGCACGGCCCUGGAAUUAUGCCUGUCUGAUGCUCACCCUUGAGACACAGUUGAACAGUUCAGUGCUGAACCAGAGCAGAGCAGCAAGAAUGAAUAUGCACUUUGACUGGCUACAGAGGCUCCCUGCGUUAUGCUGCUGCUCACACAGACGCCGAGGCACCAGAAGACGCCUUUGCUUUCCCUCCCAGGAGAAUAACAUCCUCCAUCAAUAUUUAAGUUUGUUUAUGUUUAGCUGUUUCACUUUAUUGACCAUGCUCAGGGUACUUAAUAUUUUCCUUUCUUGUCUUUGUUUUCAUAAUGCAACAGCUCCAAGCUGCUAGGUUUGUAUGUGCUGUUUUGUCUAGGUUUCUUGUCAGUUUGUCCUAGAAAACACGAUCAAAAACGUUUCUAAACUGUCCUGCUAAACCUUGAAGUAAAUGCCUUAUCAUUUCUUUCUCUUUAUGAAUACCAUCAGUGCUGUUUUAACUUGACUCUCUUCCCUAAAAGCGUCAACAUUACCUACAUACAAACUGUUAUCAGCAGUUUCAAUCACCUCUUCUGUCCAGUGUUUUCCCCUGAC